GAUGAACGCUGGCGGCGUGCUUAACACAUGCAAGUCGAACGGGAAUUCUUUUAUUGAAACUUCGGUCGAUUUAAUUUAAUUCUAGUGGCGGACGGGUGGGUAACGCGUGGGUAACCUGCCUUAUACAGGGGGAUAACAGUCAGAAAUGGCUGCUAAUACCGCAUAAGCGCACAGAGCUGCAUGGCUCAGUGUGAAAAACUCCGGUGGUAUAAGAUGGACCCGCGUUGGAUUAGCUGGUUGGUGGGGUAACGGCCCACCAAGGCGACGAUCCAUAGCCGGCCUGAGAGGGUGAACGGCCACAUUGGGACUGAGACACGGCCCAGACUCCUACGGGAGGCAGCAGUGGGGAAUAUUGCACAAUGGGGGAAACCCUGAUGCAGCGACGCCGCGUGAAGGAAGAAGUAUCUCGGUAUGUAAACUUCUAUCAGCAGGGAAGAUAGUGACGGUACCUGACUAAGAAGCCCCGGCUAACUACGUG
rnacentral:rRNA from 1 species